GGUGCCAGUAGGUUUGGUGUCUGGUGAGGACCUGCUUUCUGGCUCACAGAUGGCACCUUCUUGCUCUCUCAUCACAUGGCCUCUUUUGGUCAAGCUGCGUCACUGCAAGCUUGAAAUGAUGGAGUGAGGCAGACUUAGAGCCGAUGUGCCUUCCAGGACAGGUAGGAGUUCCAGAUAACGGCAACACACUGGACAACAGCCAACCUAAGGAACAGGGAUGGCACCGUGAAGAAGCAGCAGAAUAAGGAGCAAGCAAGCGGGGAGAGAUGGGAAAGCACAGUGGGAAAAGAGGGAUUAUUUCCAAGAACGCCCAGAUUUAGCUCUCCUUCCUUCAGCCCCCCCACGGAGGGAUGUGUGACUCAGACGAGAGGAAAACCAGCUCAGGUUCUGGUGCCAGCCCAGACCUCUGUCUCCUGGACAAAAUCCCCAAAGUUAACCCCCCCUCAGCCGCCAUCUCGCCAUGCAUGGCUCCAUUAUUCGUACUCCUGUCCAGGCUCCUUCUAAAUGCACAUCUGUCCGUCUUGUACAGCUGAGAUCUCAUCUUCCAAAAACUGUGCUGCCUGCCAUAUAAAGUAGCACCUCCUUCUCUUUAUUUUAAAUAUACCUUGCUCUAGUUUCAUAGAGCACUGCAAGGACUCUAAAGUUUCAUUUAGUUCGUACGUCUAUACUCCUUUUAGCUAUGCUACUCAUGUCCAUUUUGACCCUGUCCCCUCUGAAGAGUUUCAUGUUUUUCCCUGUUCCCAAAGCCCCCACACCUCCAAUAAUUUUAACCACUCAUCUUGGUUCCACUAUAUUUUUUUACUGAGAUUUCAGCAACUACCUUUAUUAUCUAGGAUAAAAUAAUAUUUUGCAGUGGACUAACCUGA